UAUAUAAGACGUUGCUUCGUACCAAAUUUCAAGAUUCUGAGUUCACGGGAAAGUACCUUGUAGCUCCAAGGGACAGUAGACCUGAGUAUUUGAUAUAAGUUCCAGCUUGAUACCUCCACGCGUUCCUAAGAAAAAGGGUCUUGACAGACAGACAGACGGACGGACAACAAAGUGAUCCUAUAAGGGUUCCGUUUUUUC